UACAGAGGUCCCAAGCGUUGUUCGGAUUCACUGGGCGUAAAGGGUGCGUAGGCGGUCGGGUAAGUCUGAUGUGAAAUCUCACAGCUUAACUGUGAAACUGCAUUGGAUACUAUCCGGCUCGAGGAAUGGAGGGGAGACUGGAAUACUUGGUGUAGCAGUGAAAUGCGUAGAUAUCAAGUGGAACACCAGUGGCGAAGGCGAGUCUCUGGACAGUUACUGACACUGAGGCACGAAGGCCAGGGGAGCAAACGGG
rnacentral:rRNA from 1 species